rnacentral:rRNA from 1 species
AACGAACGCUGGCGGCAGGCUUAACACAUGCAAGUCGAGCGGGCCCUUCGGGGUCAGCGGCAGACGGGUGAGUAACACGUGGGAACGUACCUUUUGGUUCGGAACAACUCCGGGAAACUGGAGCUAAUACCGGAUAAGCCCUUAGGGGGAAAGAUUUAUCGCCAAACGAUCGGCCCGCGUCUGAUUAGCUAGUUGGUGGGGUAACGGCCCACCAAGGCGACGAUCAGUAGCUGGUCUGAGAGGAUGAUCAGCCACACUGGGACUGAGACACGGCCCAGACUCCUACGGGAGGCAGCAGUGGGGAAUAUUGGACAAUGGGCGCAAGCCUGAUCCAGCCAUGACGCGUGAGUGAUGAAGGCCUUAGGGUUGUAAAGCUCUUUUGUCCGGGAAGAUAAUGACUGUACCGGAAGAAUAAGCCCCGGCUAACUUCGUG